rnacentral:rRNA from 1 species
UUGUUGGGUAGGGGAGCGUUCUGUAAGCCUGUGAAGGUGUGCUGUGAGGCAUGCUGGAGGUAUCAGAAGUGCGAAUGCUGACAUAAGUAACGAUAAAGCGGGUGAAAAGCCCGCUCGCCGGAAGACCAAGGGUUCCUGUCCAACGUUAAUCGGGGCAGGGUGAGUCGACCCCUAAGGCGAGGCCGAAAGGCGUAGUCGAUGGGAAACAGGUUAAUAUUCCUGUACUUGGUGUUACUGCGAAGGGGGGACGGAGAAGGCUAUGUUGGCCGGGCGACGGUUGUCCCGGUUUAAGCGUGUAGGCUGGUUUUCCAGGCAAAUCCGGAAAAUCAAGGCUGAGGCGUGAUGACGAGGCACUACGGUGCUGAAGCAACAAAUGCCCUGCUUCCAGGAAAAGCCUCUAAGCAUCAGGUAACAUCAAAUCGUACCCCAAACCGACACAGGUGGUCAGGUAGAGAAUACCAAGGCGCUUGAGAGAACUCGGGUGAAGGAACUAGGCAAAAUGGUGCCGUAACUUCGGGAGAAGGCACGCUGAUAUGUAGGUGAAGCGACUUGCUCGUGGAGCUGAAAUCAGUCGAAGAUACCAGCUGGCUGCAACUGUUUAUUAAAAACACAGCACUGUGCAAACACGAAAGUGGACGUAUACGGUGUGACGCCUGCCCGGUGCCGGAAGGUUAAUUGAUGGGGUCAGCGCAAGCGAAGCUCUUGAUCGAAGCCCCGGUAAACGGCGGCCGUAACUAUAACGGUCCUAAGGUAGCGAAAUUCCUUGUCGGGUAAGUUCCGACCUGCACGAAUGGCGUAAUGAUGGCCAGGCUGUCUCCACCCGAGACUCAGUGAAAUUGAACUCGCUGUGAAGAUGCAGUGUACCCGCGGCAAGACGGAAAGACCCCGUGAACCUUUACUAUAGCUUGACACUGAACAUUGAGCCUUGAUGUGUAGGAUAGGUGGGAGGCUUAGAAGUGUGGACGCCAGUCUGCAUGGAGCCGACCUUGAAAUACCACCCUUUAAUGUUUGAUGUUCUAACGUUGACCCGUAAUCCGGGUUGCGGACAGUGUCUGGUGGGUAGUUUGACUGGGGCGGUCUCCUCCUAAAGAGUAACGGAGGAGCACGAAGGUUGGCUAAUCCUGGUCGGACAUCAGGAGGUUAGUGCAAUGGCAUAAGCCAGCUUGACUGCGAGCGUGACGGCGCGAGCAGGUGCGAAAGCAGGUCAUAGUGAUCCGGUGGUUCUGAAUGGAAGGGCCAUCGCUCAACGGAUAAAAGGUACUCCGGGGAUAACAGGCUGAUACCGCCCAAGAGUUCAUAUCGACGGCGGUGUUUGGCACCUCGAUGUCGGCUCAUCACAUCCUGGGGCUGAAGUAGGUCCCAAGGGUAUGGCUGUUCGCCAUUUAAAGUGGUACGCGAGCUGGGUUUAGAACGUCGUGAGACAGUUCGGUCCCUAUCUGCCGUGGGCGCUGGAGAACUGAGGGGGGCUGCUCCUAGUACGAGAGGACCGGAGUGGACGCAUCACUGGUGUUCGGGUUGUCAUGCCAAUGGCACUGCCCGGUAGCUAAAUGCGGAAGAGAUAAGUGCUGAAAGCAUCUAAGCACGAAACUUGCCCCGAGAUGAGUUCUCCCUGACUCCUUGA